rnacentral:lncRNA from 1 species
CCUACUCCGAUGACGACGAAGAGAAACAGGAUCGGCCUCAAGGUAGCUCUCCCUCCCAGAUCUCUUUCUUUUAUUCUCCUUUUUUACUUAAAUGAAAUGAGAACAGAAACAACAAAGAAAAAUGAAGAAAAACCAAACCAGAGAACAAAUCACCUUUUUCUUUUCAAUCUUUUUUUUGUUUCUGUUGAUAUUCUCCGUGUCGUCUUACAAACGCUAAAAAAUGGCUUUUAUAUCCGAAAAUAAAAUAAAAAUUAUAAAAGGAAAAAAUGGAUUUUGGCUCUUUUUCUUUUUUCCCUUUUUGCUGUCGAUUUCUGCUCGUUUUUGCUUGUUGCUUGUAUGCAGGUACGGGCGUACGGGGCAGUGGAGGUUCACGUGGAUUUGGCGCAGAGGCGCUACACGCGCGCGGGCGCAACACGCGCAAGGAGGAAGCCUGGCUUUGUUGCGGCGGCUGAGGCUGUUUCAGAAACUGCUAGGGUUUCUGCUUAUGCUCUGGGCUUAGAAUCGGGUUUAGGUUUGGGCUAGGGUCUAGGCAAAUUGGGUUUGGUGAAAUUGUUUGUAAUUUGGACUGUCAUUUUAUUUGUUUUUUAUUUGUGCACGGGCCGGGCAAAUAUUGGGCCUUACACCUGAAAUUAACAAAAUCACAUUUUUCAAAAACAUUUUUAAACCCUAAAACAACAAUGUUGAUCAAUUG